AUUGAACGCUGGCGGCAGGCCUAACACAUGCAAGUCGAGCGAGCGGCGGACGGGUGAGUAAUGUAUGGGGACUGCCCGAUAGAGGGGGAUAACUACUGGAAACGGUAGCUAAUACCGCCUACGAUCGGAUAACCCAUAUGGGAUUAGCUAGUAGGUGGGGUAAUGGCUCACCUAGGCGACGAUCCCUAGCUGGUCUGAGAGGAUGACCAGCCACACUGGGACGAGGACACGGCCCAGACUCCUCGGGAGGCAGAAGUGGGGAAUAUUGCACAAUGGGCGAAAGCCUGAUGCAGCCAUGCCGCGUGUAUGAAGAAGGUCUUAGGGCUGUAAAGUAUGUUCAGUAGGGAAGCGUUACCGAAAGAAGAAGCACCGGCUAACUCCGUGCCAGCAGCCGCGGUAAUAC
rnacentral:rRNA from 1 species